GUUUCGUAGGUGAACCUGCGGAAGGAUCAUUGUCGA
rnacentral:rRNA from 1 species